UACGGAGGGUGCAAGCGUUAUCCGGAAUCACUGGGCGUAAAGGGCGCGUAGGCGGUCUGUUAAGUCUGGCGUUAAAGCCUGGGGCUCAACCCCAGAUCAGCGUUGGAUACUGGCAGGCUAGACGGCUGGAGAGGCGAGUGGAAUUACCAGUGUAGCGGUGGAAUGCGUAGAUACUGGUAGGAACACCCAUUGCGAAGGCAGCUCGCUGGACAGCACGUGACGCUGAGGCGCGAAAGUGUGGGGAGCAAACCGGAUUAGA
rnacentral:rRNA from 1 species